UACGGGGGGAGCAAGCGUUGUUCGGAUUUACUGGGCGGAAAGCGCACGUAGGCGGACAUUUAAGUCAGGGGUGAAAUCCCAGAGCUCAACUCUGGAACUGCCUUUGAUACUGGGUGUCUUGAGUAUGGAAGAGGUGAGUGGAAUUCCGAGUGUAGAGGUGAAAUUCGUAGAUAUUCGGAGGAACACCAGUGGCGAAGGCGGCUCACUGGUCCAUUACUGACGCUGAGGUGCGAAAGCGUGGGGAGCAAACAGG
rnacentral:rRNA from 1 species